rnacentral:rRNA from 1 species
AACGAACGUUGGCGGCGUGGAUUAGGCAUGCAAGUCGAACGAGAAAGGGUAGCAAUACCCGAGUAAAGUGGCGAACUGGUGAGUAACAGGUGGGUAAUAUGCCUCAAAGUGGGGGAUAACACUCGGAAACGGGUGCUAAUACCGCAUAUGGCACGGGUAGCGUUGGCUCGUCCGUGUUAAAGGCCUUCGGGCCGCUUUGAGAUUAGCCCGCCCCUGAUUAGCUAGUUGGUAGGGUAAUGGCCUACCAAGGCUUUGAUCAGUAGCUGGUCUGAGAGGAUGGUCAGCCACACUGGGACUGAGAUACGGCCCAGACUCCUACGGGAGGCAGCAGUCUAGAGGCUUCGGCAAUGGACGAAAGUCUGACCGAGCGACGCCGCGUGCGGGAUGAAGGCCGUGAGGUUGUAAACCGCUGUCAGCAGGGAAGAAGGCCCGAAUGGUGAAUUCGGGAUUGACGGUACCUGCAGAGGAAGCCCCGGCUAACUCCGUGCCAGCAGCCGCCGUAAUAC